GUUUAUCCGGAGUUCAGGGCUGUGGCUGCGGGGCUUUCCCGACCGGAAGCUUGUUAGAAUUCUGUCUCCGUGAGAAUCACAGCCUUCACCGGUACUGCAGCUGCAUCCUUAUACUUAGCCAUCAACCUCUCCAAAGAAGUAAGAGCAUUAAGAAACUAAAAACAAAGCCAAUAACCUCAUAAUACAGGUAAAUAAUUUCUCCUCCUGA
rnacentral:lncRNA from 1 species